GGGUUGUGAGGUUAAGCGACUAAGCGUACACGGUGGAUGCCCUGGCAGUCAGAGGCGAUGAAGGACGUGCUAAUCUGCGAUAAGCGCCGGUAAGGUGAGAUGAACCGUUAUAACCGGCGAUUUCCGAAUGGGGAAACCCAGUGUGA
rnacentral:rRNA from 1 species